rnacentral:lncRNA from 1 species
CCUCAGACUGUAGAUCACAGGAUUAAUGAGUGGAGUUCCCACAGAAUAAAACAGAGUCACAAGCUUCUGUAUUCCAGCAUCAUGCUCAGAUGUUGGGCUCAGAUACAUGACCAUCACUGAACCAUAGAAGAGCGAGACCACAGCCAGAUGAGACCCACAGGUGGAGAAAGCUUUCCUUUGUCCAGCUGCUGAAGGGACUUUCAAUACAGCUCUCAAGACCAGAGCAUAGGACCCCAUGAUGCAGAGAAAAGGAAUAAAUAAGAGGAGAGAACUUAUGAUUGCCCAGAAAGAUUCCAUUACUGAGGUUCUAGCACAGGUGAGUGCUAGAAGAGGACCUGGGUCACACAGGAAAUGGUCAAUAAUCCUGGAUCCACAGAAGGACAUUUGGGAGAUGAUGAUGAUGGGGACUGGCCAAGUACCCAGCAGCUGGUUAUAAGAUUGGCACAGAGACGUCCAGUCAUGAGAGUGGGGUAGUGUAGAGGCCAGCAGAUGGCAAGGUAUCGAUCAAAUGCCAUAAUAGCCAAGAAAAAGCAUUCUGUAGAACCCAAGGAGAAGAAAAAGUAAAACUGGAGAAAGCACCCAGAGAAGGAGAUGAGCUUGUUGUCAGAGAGGAAGUUGGCCAACAUGUUGGGGACAGUGGAGGUGACAUACCAGAUCUCUAGGAAGGAGAAGUUGGCAAGCAGGAUGUACAUGGGGGUGUGGAGUCUCUGAUCCCAGCACACAGCACAGAUGAUAGAACCGUUGCCCAUGAGGGUCAGGAGGUAGACAGCAGAGAAGAGCACAAAGAGGAGAAUCUGCCCCUCCCUGGGGCAAGGGAAGCCCAAGAGGAUGAAGCCAGUGAUGGUGCUGGAGGUGUUGGGUCUUAUUUGGAAGUAGUAGCUUCCCUGGUGGCUCAGAGGUUAAAGUGUCUGCUUGCAAUGUGGGAGACCCUGGUUCCAUCCCUGGGUCAGGAAGAUCUCCUGGAGAAGGAAAUGGCAACUCACUCCAGUAUUCUUUUUUUUUUUCGCUCCAGUAUUCUUGCAUGGAGAAUCUCAUGGAGGAAGGAGCCUGGUAGGCUACAGUCCAUGGGGUUGCAAAGAGUCAGACACAACUGAGCUGCUUCACUCACUCAGUCUUUUUAAACAUUUGCAAACAAAAUACAAUUUUUCUUAUAUUUAGCUGGAUCCUAAAGAAGAUAACAAAAAGAAGAAAAAUUGCAAAAAUAUAAAGAAGGUUUUAGGGAAUUAUUUCAGCUGUAUUAUAUUAGCAAGUAAAGGUUAUUCUGCUUUUUGUUGCAUAUCUUUUGUGGCUUAUGCCUGACUGAAUAUAUGACUUCCAGAAAUCCACCACUGAACAUUUACUAUGUAUGUACCACUCCUCUGGAUUGUGAAUGAAUACGAAAAUUGGAAAAAUAGAGAAAUGCAAAGAACAUUAAAACUUGUCCUCAUGCAGCAUGGGAAUUUAACAUGAAUAUUUCAGAAGAAAAAAUAUGAAAAAGAU